CGAGAAAUAAUCCUUCGGGAUUGUGGAAAGUGGCAAACGGGUGAGUAAUGCAGAGGAAUCUACCUAGCAGUACGGAAUAGCUCUUGGAAACGAGAAAUAAUACCGUAUAUUACCUUUCGAGGGAAAGAUUUAUCGCUGUUAGAUGAGCCUCUGUCGGAUUAGCUAGUUGGUAGGGUAAAGGCCUACCAAGGCUGUGAUCCGUAACUGGUCUGAGAGGAUGACCAGUCACACUGGGACUGCGACACGGCCCAGACUCCUACGGGAGGCAGCAGUAGGGAAUAUUGGACAAUGGGCGAAAGCCUGAUCCAGCAAUACCACGUGAGUGAUGAAGGCCUUAGGGUUGUAAAGCUCUUUUAGUAGGGAAGAUAAUGACGGUACCUACAGAAAAAGCACCGGCUAACUCCGUGCCAGCAGCCGCGGUAAUACGGAGGGUGCUAGCGUUAUUCAGAAUCAUUGGGCGUAAAGCGUGCGUAGGCGGCAUAGCAAGUUAGUUGUGAAAGCCCAGGGCUUAACCUUGGAACUGCAACUAAAACUGCUAAGCUGGAGUAUGGUAUGCGGUAGCAGAAUUUCUAGUGUAGGGGUGAAAUCCGUAGAUAUUAGAAGGAAUACC
rnacentral:rRNA from 1 species